AUCCGGAUCGAGGACAGUGUAUGGUGGGCAGUUUGACUGGGGCGGUCUCCUCCUAAAGAGUAACGGAGGAGUACGAAGGUGCGCUCAGACCGGUCGGAAAUCGGUCGUAGAGUAUAAAGGCAAAAGCGCGCUUGACUGCGAGACAGACACGUCGAGCAGGUACGAAAGUAGGUCUUAGUGAUCCGGUGGUUCUGUAUGGAAGGGCCAUCGCUCAACGGAUAAAAGGUACUCCGGGGAUAACAGGCUGAUACCGCCCAAGAGUUCAUAUCGACGGCGGUGUUUGGCACCUCGAUGUCGGCUCAUCACAUCCUGGGGCUGAAGCCGGUCCCAAGGGUAUGGCUGUUCGCCAUUUAAAGUGGUACGCGAGCUGGGUUUAGAACGUCGUGAGACAGUUCGGUCCCUAUCUGCCGUGGACGUUUGAGAUUUGAGAGGGGCUGCUCCUAGUACGAGAGGACCGGAGUGGACGAACCUCUGGUGUUCCGGUUGUCACGCCAGUGGCAUUGCCGGGUAGCUAUGUUCGGAAAAGAUAACCGCUGAAAGCAUCUAAGCGGGAAACUUGCCUCAAGAUGAGAUCUCACUGGGAACUUGAUUCCCCUGAAGGGCCGUCGAAGACUACGACGUUGAUAGGCUGGGUGUGUAAGCGUUGUGAGGCGUUGAGCUAACCAGUACUAAUUGCCCGUGAGGCUUGACCAUAUAACACCCAAACA
rnacentral:rRNA from 1 species